GGGACUUAUUAGAGACGCAUCAUUACUUAUUUUAUUCAUUUUCAUUUAAUUAAAGAUUUUACAACUAUUUGUGUCAACGUUUAAUGGCAUUAUAUUUAUUUUUGUCAAAACUAUACCCAUGAUUCACAUAUUCAAAAUAUGUUCGGUUUUAUGUCUAAUAACGCUAGUUGUAGCCCAUUUCAAAAUUGGAAAACGAACAUCAUAUGAUGCUAGUUUGUAUAAGAAAAAAAUUUCUUCUGAAUUGUUAGCUUUUCCAAAGGCCCGCGAAGAAAAACUAAGACAAUGCAAAAAAAUGUUAACUAGUGAGACAAACAUGAUGAUUGAAGACGAUGCUAUAAGCAAAUUGAACGAAAGAAUUAUAAAUAGACGUAAUCUAAUACUCGACGAUAACAAUGAACUAAUUAAAGAAAGUUCUUUGGAAAAAACUAUUGAAGAAAUUUGUUCCCAUUUUCUCUUUUCAAAAGAUAACCCAACAAAAAAAAUGAUUUCACUUAUCUACAAAAGUUUAAAAUAAACACAAAAGAGAAUCUCUUUGUGCUUUGUAUGGUUCGUUGUUUACUUUGAUGUUAUUGGUUAUAUAUAUUUUUAAAUUACUAUGACUUCUAUUUUUAACUUGUUAUUUAUUAGUUAUUUUUUAUGUUUUUUAAUCUUAAAGAAAAAUAUUGUUAAAAAAAGA